UCAGACACAGCUGAAUACUUUUGGCUGAUGCACUGGCAAUUUGGUUAUUCAUUUUCUGCUCUCAGCUGAAUGUAGACCACCUGGCCAUAGCUUGGCUCACCCACUUCCUAGUUCUGGCAGAUGGAGUCUGGCAUCCACAAUGUGCUUCCUCUUUCCCUCCUUUUCCACUAACUCUAUUAGACUGAAAGCAAAGGCGCUAAGGAAACCAAGAAUGAAGUGGCAGAUAUGGGCCAUCAUCUUUGAGGGUGUGAAAGAAGAUUGGAGACCCUAUCUUGGUGGUCUUCUUUAGCUUGGACCAUGUGGGUCUCACUCCAUAAUGGUGUGAAAGCCACCUCAAGGCAGGGUAGGGUGCUGCAACCUUAGCUCUGCUGCCAUAAACCCAGGAGCAGAGGACCACAGAGGAGGAAGUCCUGCCUAGAGGAACAGAAUGGACUGGUGGCGGCGAGCUUUGAGAUCACACCUCAAACCCAGGAACCUGUUAUGACUGGGUUAUCUCCUUCCUCUCAGCGGGAGCUGGAACAACUCUGAGUCGGCAUCCUGACUUUUGGCCCCUUUACAUGAAACCAUAUGUGGAGGAACUAGGAGUGGUGUAGCUGGCUGUACAUUGGACCUAAGAAGUGGAAAUUUCUUAUUUCAUUGUAAAGUCAGCUAUAUCAAACGAUGUUUUGCUGGGGAACACAGGCGAAAGGAAGUUUUGCUAAAGCAGACAUGUGAAAGAUGCAUGAUGCUUAGAAGGCAUAUAAAUGUGAUCCCACAGACAGUGGGAGCUUGAGCAUUGGUUCACUUUGCUCCACCUGGCUAUUCUUCACUGACAGACGUGCAUGCAUGUAUUGGUUCACCUUAUAUUGCAUUGCUGAGCUCCGCCUGUGGUGGCGCCAUAGAGAGAAAUUUGCCAAAGAACUUCUCCGUGAGGUUCCUGCUGCUUCCUCAAGCUGGUUGGUGAGCCUUGUGGUUUCUUCUGGAUUGAACUGCCCUUGCUGGUUCACAUGUGGUGACUGCCAAGUGGACUGGACUGCAGCUGCUGAUUCCUGUUUGGUGUUUUCUACUGAACUGAAACUGCUGAUAUCCUGACAAUGAAAAUUGGACUUGUCCCCAAAGAGCUAUUUGUAAACAGGUCUACUUCCACACCAUGUCCUAAUAACUUUUAUCUUCCACCAAUGUUGGUGGGUGGUGGCUUAGAGAGGAGGUUGAAUGUUUAUUAAA
rnacentral:lncRNA from 1 species